GAGGUCUCCGUCCCGGUGCGCGAACAAAGGCCUGUGCACGCAAACAAGAACCGCGCGCUUGCUGAAGGGCCUGGUUUGAGGAGCGCAGCGUGCGCCCCGGCCCCCCGCAGCCGCGCGCCCUCCUCGGGCCCGCUGGGGGCGGCGGGGCCGCGGGCGCCGCUGGCGGGGAGCAAGCCGCGGCCGGCUCAUCUAGACUAUUCUCGGGGAGGGGGUGAGGGGGGAGGGCGGAGACGCAGGGCGCCUCCCGCUCCUCGCCUGUCCCAAGGGGGCGCGAAGGUCACACGGCCCAUCUCCAGGGGAAAGCACCUCCCUGAGGGGUGCGCGCCGGGCACGCAGACGGGACUCGGGAACGCGGCCUCGUGCCCCUUUCCAACGCUCUUUCGCGGCCACCUCUCCGGUGCAAUCCCUCUCGGCGGCCCGCGGAGGCAGGAUAAGUUAAGCGAAGAGGAGAAGGCGAUGGGACCACGGAGAAGACAAAUAGACUCUCCACCGUAAGCCAGAGAACGGCGGCCGCCGCCAGAUGCAAGGAAGCACUUCUCCUCUCGAGCCCUCAGACGGUGGCAGUCCAGCUGCCAUUUUAGCCCAGUGACACUGAUUAUGGAUUUCUGGCCUCCAGGACACAUGGCUCCUGGCUGUCUCUUGAGGGAAGGAAAGCCUUUGCCACCUUGCCAAGCCAUCAGACUCCCACUCUUCCUUCGAGAGAACAGGUGCUGAGAAAAGCACCCCCCUCAUGGGUCUGGAUGAAAUAUGCACACGCCUUGGCCAAAUGCUUACUGAAGCGCAGUGUCAUUAUAUACGACGCUGUAUAUAAUGAUCUGCUUAAAUGUCUGUCUCCCUCACUUGACUUGAGGGCAGGGACUGAUUCUGAUCUAUCUCUGUGCCUCCGGCACCCAGCGCGGUUACAAGAGCUGUUAAAUAAAUGUGAAGUAAAUGAAUGAAAAAGAAAUAAAUGAGUCUCAGAAUUCUAGUCUCAUAAUUCCACACAUAAAAUCGAAGACCCUUGCCUCACAUGACCGCAAAGACGGGAGGUUCUUGGAGAAGAACUUUCUGAGGCUGUUGAUCUUUCUGACUAGCAUCCACCGUUAGUAAUGCACUUUAUGUCGCUGUCCAGUGUGAACACACACACACACACACACACACACACACACCUAGACACACAUACACACGCACAGAAAGUUUCAUGAAACGGCGUUUUUCCUAACUAUGUGGGAUAAACCCAGACAUUUCCUCUUGUCUUCUCUUACGUCGUCUCCUAUCUUUUCCAUUCUUUUGUUUGAUUAAAAAAAUG